AUUGAACGCUGGCGGCAUGCCUUACACAUGCAAGUCGAACGGCAGCACGGGUGCUUGCACCUGGUGGCGAGUGGCGAACGGGUGAGUAAUACAUCGGAACGUACCUUAUCGUGGGGGAUAACGCAGCGAAAGCUGUGCUAAUACCGCAUACGCCCUGAGGGGGAAAGCGGGGGAUCGCAAGACCUCGCGCGAUUAGAGCGGCCGAUGCCUGAUCAGCUUGUUGGUGGGGUAAAAGCCCACCAAGGCGACGAUCAGUAGCUGGUCUGAGAGGACGAUCAGCCACACUGGGACUGAGACACGGCCCAGACUCCUACGGGAGGCAGCAGUGGGGAAUUUUGGACAAUGGGGGCAACCCUGAUCCAGCAAUGCCGCGUGAGUGAAGAAGGCCUUCGGGUUGUAAAGCUCUUUUGUCAGGGAAGAAACACCGGCUCUAACACAGUCCGGGAAUGACGGUACCUGAAGAGUAAGCACCGGCUAACUACGUGCCAGCAGCCGCGGUAA
rnacentral:rRNA from 1 species